UACAGAGGUCUCAAGCGUUGUUCGGAUUUAUUGGGCGUAAAGGGUGCGUAGGUGGCGCUGUAAGUCGGGUGUGAAAUUUCGGAGCUUAACUCCGAAACUGCAUUCGAUACUGCGGUGCUUGAGGACUGGAGAGGAGACUGGAAUUCAUGGUGUAGCAGUGAAAUGCGUAGAGAUCAUGAGGAAGACCAGUGGCGAAGGCGGGUCUCUGGACAGUUCCUGACACUGAGGCACGAAGGCCAGGGGAGCAAACGGG
rnacentral:rRNA from 1 species